GCGGGUGUGGCUGAGUGGCUAGGCAGCUGUCUGCAAAACAGUGCUAGGCGGGUUCGAAUCCUGUCACCCGCUCUA
rnacentral:tRNA from 1 species